rnacentral:rRNA from 1 species
GACGAACGCUGGCGGCGUGCUUAACACAUGCAAGUCGAACGGUGAUGCUCCAGCUUGCUGGAGUGGAUCAGUGGCGAACGGGUGAGUAACACGUGAGCAACCUGCCCCAGACUCUGGAAUAAGCGCUGGAAACGGCGUCUAAUACUGGAUACGAAACUGGCCCGCAUGGGCAUGGUAUGGAAAGUUUUUCGGUUUGGGAUGGGCUCGCGGCCUAUCAGCUUGUUGGUGAGGUAAUGGCUCACCAAGGCGACGACGGGUAGCCGGCCUGAGAGGGCGACCGGCCACACUGGGACUGAGACACGGCCCAGACUCCUACGGGAGGCAGCAGUGGGGAAUAUUGCACAAUGGGCGAAAGCCUGAUGCAGCGACGCCGCGUGAGGGAUGACGGCCUUCGGGUUGUAAACCUCUUUCAGCAGGGAAGAAGCGAAAGUGACGGUACCUGCAGAAGAAGCACCGGCUAACUACGUG